GACGAACGCUGGCGGCGUGCUUAACACAUGCAAGUCGAACGGAAAGGCCCUGCUUUUGUGGGGUGCUCGAGUGGCGAACGGGUGAGUAACAAGUGAGUAACCUGCCCUUGACUUUGGGAUAACUUCAGGAAACUGGGGCUAAUACCGGAUAGGAGCUCCUGCUGCAUGGUGGGGGUUGGAAAGUUUCGGCGGUUGGGGAUGGACUCGCGGCUUAUCAGCUUGUUGGUGGGGUAGUGGCUUACCAAGGCCUUGACGGGUAGCCGGCCUGAGAGGGUGACCGGCCACAUUGGGACUGGGAUACGGCCCAGACUCCUACGGGAGGCAGCAGUGGGGAAUAUUGCACAAUGGGCGGAAGCCUGAUGCAGCGACGCCGCGUGCGGGAUGACGGCCUUCGGGUUGUAAACCGCUUUCGCCUGUGACGAAGCGUGAGUGACGGUAAUGGGUAAAGAAGCACCGGCUAACUACGUG
rnacentral:rRNA from 1 species